rnacentral:rRNA from 1 species
GUGGGGAAUUUUGGACAAUGGGCGCAAGCCUGAUCCAGCAAUGCCGCGUGCAGGAAGAAGGCCUUCGGGUUGUAAACUGCUUUUGUACGGAACGAAAGGGCUCUGGUUAAUACCUGGGGCUCAUGACGGUACCGUAAGAAUAAGCACCGGCUAACUACGUGCCAGCAGCCGCGGUAAUACGUAGGGUGCAAGCGUUAAUCGGAAUUACUGGGCGUAAAGCGUGCGCAGGCGGUUUUGUAAGACAGACGUGAAAUCCCCGGGCUCAACCUGGGAAUGGCGUUUGUGACUGCAAAGCUGGAGUGCGGCAGAGGGGGAUGGAAUUCCGCGUGUAGCAGUGAAAUGCGUAGAUAUGCGGAGGAACACCGAUGGCGAAGGCAAUCCCCUGGGCCUGCACUGACGCUCAUGCACGAAAGCGUGGGGAGCAAACAGGAUUAGAUACCCUAGUAGUCC